CCCCGGCCCUGCCUCCUCCCGGGCCUGCCGCAGCGCGCCGCAGUGCGCCCGGACGCCGGGGAGGAAGGAAGCGGGCGGCGGCGUCACGUGCCCUUGGCGGUCGCCGGACAGCUCCAGAGCUGAGGAGACCUUGCAGAACACGAGGGGGGCACGGACCCCCGCCCCCGCCGGCUGUCACAUCCGCCAGCAAGUUGAGCAAGAGUGUUGUGAGCACCGGGGCAGAGACUGUCCAUCGGGCUGCAGGAGGUGGUCAGUCCUGUGCUGGCCAGCAGAGAAGGAACAGGGUGAAUGGAGGGCGCCAGGAAAGCAAG